CCUACGGGUGGCAGCAGUGAGGAAUAUUGGUCAAUGGGCGCGAGCCUGCACCAGCCAAGUAGCGUGAAGGAUGGCUGCCCUACGGGUUGUAAACUUCUUUUAUAAAGGAAUAAAGUGCGGCACGUGUGCCUUUUUGUAUGUACUUUAUGAAUAAGGAUCGGCUAACUCCGUGCCAGCAGCCGCGGUAAUACGGAGGAUUCGAGCGUUAUCCGGAUUUAUUGGGUUUAAAGGGAGCGUAGAUGGGUUGUUAAGUCAGUGGUGAAAGUUUGCGGCUCAACCAUAAAAUUGCAAUGGAUACUGGCAGUGUAGAGUACAGUUGAGGUAGGCGGAAUGCGUGGUGUAGCGGUGAAAUGCUUAGAGAUCACGAAGAACUCCGAGUGCGAAGGCAGCUUACUAAACUGCCACUGACAUUGAUGCUCGAAAGUGUGGGUAGCAAACAGGAUUAGAUACCCCAGUAGUC
rnacentral:rRNA from 1 species